rnacentral:lncRNA from 1 species
GUUGUUUAUAGCUGUUUAAUAUGACCUAUGUGCAGUUCUGGAAAACCAGUGCAUCAGCUUUGGCAUCUAGUAACAAGACUGGCAUCAGCCAAGAGAGCCUUAUACACCUUCCACAUCUGGGACACCUACCCACUAGCCAGAAAUGAAUGAUGCACGGCUGAGACAAAGAUAAAAUCCUUUUGUGCUGCCCAUUCUUUCUGCAGAUCGUGGCCCAUGAAACCAGACUGGUGAAAGGACACAGUGUUACCACCACACCUCUCAGCUCCUCUGCCUGGCUCAUUUUGGUGAUCUGGUUUGCAGAGCCACCCCUGAAACUUUUCCUCCAGAGCAGCCAAGAGAGAAAGGAGCUGCCCUGCUCAGGGUUACAUGGAAAAGUGAAACCUUGGAGACAGGAAAGAAAGAGACAACAGGUUAUUACAGACCUCACUGCUGUCCUGAGUGAUUCUUCCUUUUCUCCAUAUAGUGAAUUAGCUCCUUGUAGAAGAUUUGAGUUCAAGUAUUAAG